rnacentral:rRNA from 1 species
UAGGGAAUCUUCGGCAAUGGACGAAAGUCUGACCGAGCAACGCCGCGUGCGUGAAGAAGGUUUUCGUAUCGUAAAACUCUGUUGUUAGAGAAGAACAAGGACGUUAGUAUCUGUACGUCACCUGACGGUAUCUAACCAGAAAGCCACGGCUAACUACGUGCCAGCAGCCGCGGUAAUACGUAGGUGGCAAGCGUUGUCCGGAUUUAUUGGGCGUAAAGCGAGCGCAGGCGGUUUCUUAAGUCUGAUGUGAAAGCCCCCGGCUCAACCGGGGAGGGGCAUUGGAAACUGGGAGGCUUGAGUGCAGAAGAGGGGAGUGGAAUUCCAUGUGUAGCGGUGAAAUGCGUAGAUAUAUGGAGGAACACCAGUGGCGAAGGCGGCUCUCUGGACUGUAACUGACGCUGAGGCUCGAAAGCGUGGGGAGCAAACAGG